AAUUCUUAUCGCCGCUAAGCAGAACAUAUGUUUAUGAGAAAGGAAACUCAAAAAGAUAAGAAGUUGAGAUAGAUACUGAUAAUAUCU
rnacentral:ncRNA from 1 species